CAGUCGCCGCGGGAAUACGUAGGGUGCAAGCGUUAUCCGGAAUUAUUGGGCGUAAAGAGCUCGUAGGCGGUUUGUCGCGUCUGCUGUGAAAACUGGAGGCUCAACCUCCAGCCUGCAGUGGGUACGGGCAGACUAGAGUGCGGUAGGGGAGAUUGGAAUUCCUGGUGUAGCGGUGGAAUGCGCAGAUAUCAGGAGGAACACCGAUGGCGAAGGCAGAUCUCUGGGCCGUAACUGACGCUGAGGAGCGAAAGCGUGGGGAGCAAACAGGAUUAGAUACCCCUGUAGUCCCUGUCUCUUAUAC
rnacentral:rRNA from 1 species